rnacentral:rRNA from 1 species
UAAAGAGUUCUAUAACUCCCAAACCCAUGUGAACAUACCUAACGUUGCCUCGGCAGGUCGCACCUACCUUGUAGCACCCUACCCUGUAGGGCCUACCCGGGAGGUGCGGGUAAGCCUGCCGGCGGCCCACCAAACUCUGUUUGAUAUUGAAUUCUGAACCUAUAACUAAAUAAGUUAAAACUUUCAACAACGGAUCUCUUGGUUCUGGCAUCGAUGAAGAACGCAGCGAAAUGCGAUAAGUAAUGUGAAUUGCAGAAUUCAGUGAAUCAUCGAAUCUUUGAACGCAUAUUGCGCCCAUUAGUAUUCUAGUGGGCAGGACCGUUCGAGCGUCAUUUCAACCCUUAAGCCUUCGUUGCUUAGUGUUGGGAGCCUACGGCAACGUAGCUCCUCAAAGUUAGUGGCGGAGUUGGUUCACACUCUAGACGUAGUAAUUUUUUAUCUCGCCUAUUAGUUGGACUAAUCCCCUGCCGUAAAACCCCCAAUUUAUCAAGGUUGACCUCGAAUCGGUUCAGACAAACUCGCUAAAUUGAAGCAUCUUAGUCAGCGAAGG